AACGAACGCUGGCGGCAUGCCUAACACAUGCAAGUCGAACGAGAUCUUCGGGUCUAGUGGCGCACGGGUGCGUAACGCGUGGGAAUCUGCCCUUUGGUUCGGAAUAACAGUUGGAAACGACUGCUAAUACCGGAUGAUGACGAAAGUCCAAAGAUUAUCGCCAGAGGAUGAGCCCGCGUAGGAUUAGCUAGUUGGUGUGGUAAAGGCGCACCAAGGCGACGAUCCUUAGCUGGUCUGAGAGGAUGAUCAGCCACACUGGGACUGAGACACGGCCCAGACUCCUACGGGAGGCAGCAGUGGGGAAUAUUGGACAAUGGGCGAAAGCCUGAUCCAGCAAUGCCGCGUGAGUGAUGAAGGCCUUAGGGUUGUAAAGCUCUUUUACCCGGGAUGAUAAUGACAGUACCGGGAGAAUGAGCUCCGGCUAACUCCGUGCCAGCCGCCGCGGUAA
rnacentral:rRNA from 1 species